AGAGUUUGAUCCUGGCUCAGGAUGAACGCUAGCGGCAGGCCUAACACAUGCAAGUCGAACGGUAACAUGAGAGCUUGCUCUCGAUGACGAGUGGCGCACGGGUGCGUAACACGUAUGCAACCUACCUUCAACUGGGGAGUAGCCCGAAGAAAUUCGGAUUAAUACCCCAUAAUAAUAGAAAUUCGCAUGUUUUUCUAUUUAAAACUCCGGUGGUUGAAGAUGGGCAUGCGUCCUAUUAGUUAGUUGGUGAGGUAACGGCUCACCAAGACUCCGAUAGGUAGGGGUUCUGAGAGGAAGAUCCCCCACACUGGUACUGAGACACGGACCAGACUCCUACGGAAGGCAGCAGUGAGGAAUAUUGGACAAUGGACGAAAGUCUGAUCCAGCCAUGCCGCGUGUAGGAAGACUGCCCUCUGGGUUGUAAACUACUUUUAUAAGGGAAUAAACCCCCGUACGUGUACGGGGCUGAAUGUACCUUAAGAAUAAGCACCGGCUAACUCCGUGCCAGCAGCCGCGGUAAUACGGAGGGUGCAAGCGUUAUCCGGAUUUAUUGGGUUUAAAGGGUCCGUAGGUGGAAUUGUAAGUCAGUGGUGAAAUCUUUCGGCUUAACCGGAAAACUGCCAUUGAUACUGCAGUUCUUGAGUAUGCUCGAGGUAGGCGGAAUAUGUCAUGUAGCGGUGAAAUGCAUAGAUAUGACAUA
rnacentral:rRNA from 1 species